rnacentral:ncRNA from 1 species
AAAGCGUAACUGAAAAGCUUAUAGAGUAGGAG